GCGACUGUAGUUUAGUUGGUAAAACGCUUAAUUUAUUAAAACAUAUCUGUUUGAAUAAUCCAAAUUACUAAGUAUCGUGGGUUCAACUCCCAUCAGUCGCG
rnacentral:tRNA from 2 species